UGACGAACUUAUGUUGCUUGCAUCGCUUCUUACCAGUGAAGUCAAAAAUCAGGAUUUAUCGAGAGGUUCCAUACCAAAAGUUCUCAACGAAUAUUACGAAAUUUGCUUAACAAGAUGAAUAACCAUGUGUUUGCUAGAGCCGACGCUUCCAAUGUUCUUGCUUACAAUAUCAUCAUGUUGAGUACAGAUCUACAUAGUUCACAGGUUAAGCGAAAGAUAACCAAACAUGAACUGUGGUAUAAAUAAUAGUAAAGAUCAUCCAUCUGAAUAUCUUGAAGCACUUUAUGAUAUGAGACAGAGAGCCAGGCCCCUUGGCAAAAUUCUUGGGUCCACUAAAAUAUAUUAUUUUAUUAAAAUUAAUUACAACAA